GGCUCUGUGCCAGGCUUCUGAGACUCGUGUGAGAUGCAUGUCACGGAAGGUCUUCUGGGCUAGUCCAAAGGGCUUGCCAUCCUACACACAGUUUGUCUUGUAGGCUGUCCACUCUAGGUCUGCUGCUGUCCUUGGCAGUCAUCCCAUGGCACUGGUGUCUCCAAAACAUUGGGGUCUUCUGCUACAACUGGACUAUACUUUCACCCCUGACUUCUCCUGGGCUUUCUUCUAGGACUCCAGCCCGGCCACCAAGUGCCAAGCCGCAGGCAGCUUCCUUACAUGAGCCUUCUGUGCCUUCAAAACCAGUACCACCUGUUGAUUUCAGCCCCAAGUUUGAGACAAGAACACUGUUUCUUUAAGGGAUCAACUGCUGCAUCGCCUUGGCAGCCCACCUGGAUUAGCUGUUAUGGGAAGAGAUAAUAUUUUACCAAGGAAAUGGGAAGUGGAUUCUAAAUUAACCAUGACUUCAGUGCCCCCACCCCCAAGCCUGGCAAUGAAGGACUAGCUACCUAACAACAGUUUCAUUUUGGGUCAAAAGCAAAGCAGGAAUUCUCCACACUGCAUCUCUAAUCUUAGCC